CAAACACAUACUAAAUCGUAUUCGUAGUGUGAAGUUGAGGAUCUUUUUUUCUAGGUCGACGAACCAACAUUACACACUCCGUCGGACCCCGUCCACGGUUGUCAGUCCUGCGUGGUUGUUCUCAGGCAUGUAGUGAAGAAGUCAGGAGGCCUCAAGAGAAAAUUGGAAAGAAGCAAUCAGGAGAGAACCAAAAACUGCCACACUUUCUGGUGCCCUUUGAGCGGGCACUCCCUGUCUCUUGUUUCUCCAGAGAUUCUUCUACUUUCCCAUAUAUUUGCAAGUUGCAAGCAAUGGAUGAGGAAGAAAAUCCCACAAAUAUCCCACAAGUUGAAGCCUUAGACCCAGAUCUUGAGAAGAAGCACUCAUUAAUGCUUGAACGCCUCUCAAACCGACACCAGAAUCGUUUGGAUAAUUCCCAUCGUUCUGAGUCUGAAUCGUCUUCAGUUGAAUCCACUUCAUCCUUCUUUUCACGCUUUUCUAAAAUGAAACGCUCUAUUGAGUCUCAGCUGGCUGAUUCUCAAACUGCUCCCACUGAUCCAGCUCAACUCAAGUCCUACUUUGAAAAGAUAUCUGCAUCUAUCUCUGAUCUGGAGAAACAUGUAGCUGAAAACUCAUAUUUCUUGCCAUCCUAUGAUGUUCGGUCCUCACUCAAAACUGUUUCAGAUUUGAAACAAAGCCUUGAGAGUUUGAAUUCCCAACUUAUCCCAAAAAAGAAAUUUGCAUUUAAGAACAAGGCAAACAAGAAAGAAUCAGGUGUUCCAGAAUUGAAAGAGCCUCCUCUUUCAAAGUGCACUAAUGCUUCACCAGAGAAAAUGAGACAUACUGUGUGGGAUUCACCAGGAUUUAGAAGCAAAGUGGGUCAGAUUUUGUUUGAAGAGUUUAGGGGAUCAGAAGUUGGAGAAUUCACAAUUUCAGACCUUGAUUCUUGUGAAGUUAGAUUAAUUGGUUGUAUAAGGGCGCUUUUUGUCCAUAGGCUGAAGAAUUGCCAGGUUUAUGUAGGGCCUGUAAUGGGUUCAGUUCUUAUUGAGGAAGUGGAGGGAUGCAUCUUUGUGAUGGCGUCACAUCAAAUUAGGAUUCAUAAUGCCAAAAGAAGUGAUUUUUACUUGAGAGUUAGGAGCCGACCCAUAAUUGAGGAUUCUAAUAGUGUGAGGUUUUCACCAUAUUGUUUGACUUAUGAAGGGAUUGAAGAAGAUCUUCGGGAUGCUAGUCUUGAUAAUGAGACUGGAAAUUGGGCAAAUGUGGAUGACUUCAAGUGGUUGCGUGCAACACAAUCUCCAAACUGGUCAAUAUUGCCAGAGAAUGAGAGGAUUAGGAUUGUUGAUAUAUCAACUGGGGAGAGUAAAAACAAGAAUACUUAAGUUAUAUACAUGUCUCAUAGCAUGCCAAAAGUGUUCAAGAUUGCGUCUUUUUGGUGAAGAGCUCAUUCAGUUUUCAUCAGGGAAAUGCUCCUUCAAGUUCUAAUGGGGUUGUUUGUUUAUAUUUGCCAAAUGAGAUUGGACCACAGGGUAGCUCAAAUACCUCAAAUUGAGGAUCUUGAAAAAAAGAAACUAGCAUCAGCGGUAAUAUUGGCCUAGUGCAGACACAAUACUCUGUUUUAUCUGUCUCUCUGCUUCUUUUUUUCCCGCUCUUUUGAUUUUGGCUAGGGGUGUUCGAUUAAGGGUCUAUUUUUUGCUUCUGUUAUAGCCAUCAGUGUUUGGACCGUCCAUACUCUUCAGAAAUGGUUAUAGACAUUAUCACAUUGACAUGUUUUGCCAAUUGAGUUGGUCAUCCUUUAUGAUUUUCACUGUGGCUGGUUGAAUUUUAUGAUUUUCAGCAAGCAGUAUGCUCAUGCGUACAUGGUCUGAAUUCUGCCAAAUAAGAAUGUGGGGUACUUGAAUCACGUGUAUUUUAAUUUUUUUUAUUUAAUGUUUGGACUGAUAGAUUUGCAUUUCAAAUCUCACAUUUCAAAUCCAUGUAUUUAAAAUUUUUUGCUUGGGUAGUUUAAAUAAUAAAGGUUAUUACUAUUAAGGUAGUGUUUCGAAAGUAUAUAUGGAGAUUUAAAAUAACAAUGAUUUAAAAAGGAUUUCAAAUUAUGAAGAAAUUAAGAUAAAAUUGUCCAAAUAGGAGAUUUGGCCCAAAUCUAAAGUCCAAUCCAAAUUCAUAUGUAUUCAAGUAUAUACUGGUACAGAAAGUAGCACCGGCAGGGCCUUUUAGACUCUGUUCCUUUCUCACAGAAUGGCAAAAUAUCAAGAGGUAAAAUGGAGUAAAUAGAAAUGAAUAAAUUAGUUACACGCACACACUUUCUCAAACUCCCACUCAUCUUGAUGUAAUAGCAGGAUAUCAUGUUAGUUAUACGUUGUAGUCCCUUUCCUCUUGAAUUGAGGGGCGAGCUACCAGCUUUUUGAACAUACAAUGUAAGAUAUGAAAGUGUUGCGUGUUACUGUUAGUUCUUGCAGUACUUUUCUGUUUUGUGAUCCUUUCAUUUUUAUUUUUAAAUCUUUUCAAUUCUGCCAAAUAUUUUGUUUUUGUGACACUAUCGUUAUUUUUACU